rnacentral:rRNA from 1 species
CGUGCCAGCAGCCGCAGUAAUACGUAGGGUGCAAGCGUUGUCCGGAAUUAUUGGGCGUAAAGAGCUCGUAGGCGGUGUGUCACGUCUGCUGUGAAAAUCCAAGGCUCAACCUUGGACUUGCAGUGGGUACGGGCACACUCGAGUGCGGUAGGGGAGAUUGGAAUUCCUGGUGUAGCGGUGGAAUGCGCAGAUAUCAGGAGGAACACCGAUGGCGAAGGCAGAUCUCUGGGCCGUAACUGACGCUGAGGAGCGAAAGCGUGGGGAGCGAACAGGAUUAGAUACCCUGGUAGUCCACGCCGUAAACGGUGGGAACUAGAUGUGGGGUCCGUUCCACGGAUUCCGUGUCGCAGCUAACGCAUUAAGUUCCCCGCCUGGGGAGUACGGCCGCAAGGCUAAAACUCAAAGGAAUUGACGGGG